UUCCGUAGGGUAACCUGCGGAAGGAUCAUUA
rnacentral:rRNA from 3 species